rnacentral:lncRNA from 1 species
GCAAAUUACCAUCCGCUCAUCUGGAGGUCUAUCAGAGGAUGAAAUUGAGAAGAUGGUUAAGGAAGCAGAAUUGCAUGCCCAGAGGGAUAACGAAAGAAAAGCUCUGAUUGAUAUCAGAAACCAGGCGGAUACCACCAUCUACAGUAUUGAGAAGAGCUUGGGUGAGUACAGAGAAAAGAUUCCCAGUGAGGUUGCAAAAGAGAUUGAGGAUGCUGUUGCAGAUUUGAGAAAGGCCAUGGGAGCUGACAAUGUUGAUGAUAUCAAGUCCAAGCUUGAUGCAGCUAACAAAGCUGUCUCUAAGAUUGGACAACACAUGGCUGGUGGUUCUGGUGGUGGUGCUGCUUCUGGAGGUUCCCAGGGUGGUGAACAGACUCCCGAGGCUGAGUAUGAGGAGGUGAAAAAGUGAGCACAGAGGUAGUAAAUUUCGUUCGUUGAUGCUUCAAAAGGAGUCGGACAUUCAGGGAUGAGUCUUGUUUUGAUUUGUAGUUUUA